rnacentral:rRNA from 1 species
GCCAUUCAUUCAGUUUGGGCACUUUUAGAGAGACUGCCGGUGUUAAGCCGGAGGAAGUGGGGAUGACGUCAAGUCCUCAUGGCCUUUAUGUCUAGGGCUACACACGUGCUACAAUGGUGGUACAAAGAGCAGCUAACUCGCGAGAGUAUGCAAAUCUCAAAAAGCCAUCCUCAGUUCGGAUUGGAGUCUGCAACUCGACUCCAUGAAGUUGGAAUCGCUAGUAAUCGCGGAUCAGCAUGCCGCGGUGAAUACGUUCCCGGGCCUU